AUCCAGCUGACGAGUCUCAAGUAGGACGAAACGUGCGUUUUGAAU
rfam:Schistosoma haematobium scaffold1000_10, whole genome shotgun sequence.